rnacentral:rRNA from 1 species
UACGUAGGUGGCAAGCGUUGUCCGGAUUUAUUGGGUUUAAAGGGUGCGUAGGCGGUCUUAUAAGUCAGUGCUGAAAUAUCCCGGCUUAACCGGGAGGGUGGCAUUGAUACUGCAAGACUUGAGUAGAGUUGAGGUUGGCGGAAUUGACGGUGUAGCGGUGAAAUGCUUAGAUAUCGUCAAGAACACCGAUAGUGAAGACAGCUAACUAAGCUCUAACUGACGCUGAGGCACGAAAAGUGUGGGGAUCAAACAGG